UGUCUUUUUGAAAAUAAUAUAAAGUCUAAUCUGCCCACUGAUUAAAUAAUUAAAGGGCUGCAGUAUAUUGACUGUACAAAGGUAGCAUAAUCAUUAGUCAUUUAAUUGAUGACUUGUAUGAAGGAUUUGAUGAGAUAUAAACUGUCUCUUAUUUAAUUAUAAAAUUUAAUUUUUUUAUUAAAAAGUUAAAAUAUCUUAAAAAGACGAGAAGACCCUAUAGAGUUUAAUAAAUUAUUAGAUUGAGAUUAUAUGUAAAACAAAUUUAAAAUAAAAUUAUUUAUUUUGUUGGGGUGACAAAAAAAUACAUUAAACUUUUUUUUAUUUUAAAACAUUUAUAAGUGAUUAAAUGAUCCAAUAAUAUUGAUUAUGAGAAAAAAUUACCUUAGGGAUAACAGCGUAAUUUUUUUUUUUAGUUCAAAUAAGAAAAAGAGUUUGCGACCUCGAUGUUGGAUUAAGAUAAAAUUUAAAUGUAGAAGUU
rnacentral:rRNA from 1 species